rnacentral:lncRNA from 1 species
AUCCGUUGUUCUCCAGUGAAACCCUAUUACACUACUACGUAUGGUCGCUGUCGCUGAACAGCCAUGUGCAUAAAAAUUAAUGUUAAAGAUUUGCUAAAAACUGCGCAUAACGAGCUGCUGCCCAACAUCAACAUGCACUAUGUGCCCAAGCAUGCUGCUGUUGUCAAAUUUAACACAAAUCACGGUUUUAAUUCACGACCUUGAGAAAUAGUUGGAAUGCCUGUUCUGAUUAUGGACUGAAAUGCACCUUGCACACUUGGUUCAGUGAAUAUGCUUGGUCAAUAUGAAAGUUUUGGAGUCUGAACAUGCAGUCUGAAUAAUGUCUUUAAUUAGAGACACCAGAGCAAAUUUUCACAUUGUACUUUUUAUUGGCAUUUCAGGAGCAACACGGUAGGAUGACUAAAGGACGCAACACUUCUGGACGGGAAUUACAUGUUCAAGAAUUGUUUUGAAAUGUACAAGGAAGAUAUUGGCAUUCUCCUUCCACCAUCAGCUGUUCAACAUCUGCGAGCUGCAAAGGCUCUCCUGUAUGACAAGGAAGCAGUAGACGCAUCAUUCGCAAUGCUCAUUUUAUGUGCUUCCAAGGGAUGCGGCCAAAGGACGACCUGCGGAUGUGCGAGUCACGUUUAUGGGAGCUGCAAAAAAGAAUUAAAGUGUAUCCCCAGUGUUUGUUA